UUUACCCUAGUUCUGUGUGGAUGGAACAGGAGUGGAACCAUUCAGUGGUAUUAAAGGGAAUAGUACCUAUAGUACUGAAAACUAAGUCUCAGUUAAGGAAGAGUGAAGGAGUGUCGAGAAGAUUUGUUAUGAAAUGACAUGUAGGAAUUAAGUCACUACAUACAUGUGCAUUCAAAAAUAGUGAUUCAGAAGAAAUAUUGAAGAAUUCAGACUAGAAAACCAAUAGUUCUUAUCAUAAUGGAAUAUACUUUGGAAAGUCACACUGCUGGAAGUGUAUAUUAUAUGUUGUUUUGUUGAUGUACUUGAAUAUAUGACAUAACAAGGGAAGUAACUUUGUAAAAAUAGUGAAGAAAAUUGAAAUUGUAUAAGUACCUUGGAAAGUUUCCAAGCAGGAAGCAUAUAACAAAAGUGUACUCAUACCUGUUGUUAAUUUUGUUUGGAUUUUAAAUUAUUGCAACAAAGAUCACUUCAGCUGUUCACAGUGAAUCCGGAUUUUGAUUGUUUGGAAUACAAUGGAGGACAGUGAGACACUGCACUGGUUUCACAGUCUGUGUUCUCCCUAUGCCCUUGUUAUGUCAACAUCAGGGUCUCCCAAACAAUUCCACAGUCACAGGAGGCGGGCACCUUUCAGAUUCAUUUUAUUUAUCGGGAUGUGUGGAAUUUAAAAGGCUGUUCUAUCAGGAUUUGUGGUUUUUGGAGAAAAAAAUUAUUGUUAUCUUGAGGCUUGUUAAAUAAAGAUUUGAUUGCACUGAAUGCAUGUGUUCAAGGCAAAUGUUAUGCAAUUCAAUUACCAGUACUUGGAAUACCUGAAUGAGAACAAUUGUUGGAUAUAAUUCAUCACUUGGCCUGAUUUGAGGUUUAAGUCAGACCUAGAGGAAGAAAACAAAAAUUGGCUCUCGGAUCUAUCAUAUGUAUCAAUUCUUCACAUUUGUAAUCAAGACAGAAAAGGUUCAGUUUUUAUCCAACAGUAGGAGAACUCUGUAAUGCAGGAAUCUAUACUCCAGAAAGUUACAAAUGAGGCAACACCGACUGCAUUGACAAUAUGACAAUCUGUGCUUUAUAGUGACAUCAUGCACUUUGUUUGUCUGUCUGUCAUUGUAAGGAUAAACAGAUUGAUGGAAUGAUGGAUGACUUUAGAUCUGGAGUCCAUGUACUAUCAUGGGUACCACUGGACGACAGUGGGUACUACCCAACUAGUAUGGUACUGGUAUACACAUUUUAUGUUUGAUGGGGGUAAGGGGAUAUGGGAUGGGGAGAAGAGACAGAACCUAUCACCCCUAACCCUUAGACACAUAUAAUUUAUAUUCAAAUUACCGGCGCUAGAGACGUAAAAUGUUCGUAAAAAUCAUCACCAAAUACAGUUAUGUACAUGUUGAUAUUGCUAAUAAGGUCUUUUGUGCAUUUUUUGCUUACCAUGUUGCGUUGUGUAUCUAGAAUUUAUAAUCACAGGGUGAAAUAUCUUGGUAUGUCUUGGUAAAUUGGGUUAAUUUAUAAUCCCAUUCUUAGUAUUAUAAAAUGAUACAUUCAUUCUAAUGUCAAUAGACAGUUUGGAACAUAUGGCUUCUGUAAUAGAUUUAGAUUUUACUCCUUCCUUUUGGGAGUAAUCUAUCAGACACUUGUUCAACUAUUGUAUGAAUGCUAAACAGAGAUUUUACAAUAUUCGGUUUCAGGGGUAUUUGUGUUGAAUGUUAUUUACUACAAACAUAUUUUUUGCUUGUAAUAAAAUACUAUAAUCAG
rnacentral:misc_RNA from 1 species